ACUCCUACGGGAGGCAGCAGUGGGGAAUAUUGCACAAUGGGGGAAACCCUGAUGCAGCCAUGCCGCGUGUGUGAAGAAGGCCUUCGGGUUGUAAAGCACUUUCAGUAGGGAGGAAGGUAGUGUAGUUAACACCUGCACUAUUUGACGUUACCUACAGAAGAAGCACCGGCUAACUCCGUGCCAGCAGCCGCGGUAAUACGGAGGGUGCGAGCGUUAAUCGGAAUUACUGGGCGUAAAGCGCAUGCAGGCGGCCUGUUAAGUCAGAUGUGAAAGCCCGGGGCUUAACCUCGGAAUUGCAUUUGAAACUGGCAGGCUAGAGUCUUGUAGAGGGGGGUAGAAUUUCAGGUGUAGCGGUGAAAUGCGUAGAGAUCUGAAGGAAUACCAGUGGCGAAGGCGGCCCCCUGGACAAAGACUGACGCUCAGAUGCGAAAGCGUGGGGAGCAAACAGGAUUAGAUACCCUGGUAGCGUCGUC
rnacentral:rRNA from 1 species